UAUUAAAAUUUUCAUUUAGUUGUAAUGUUAAAAAUUGAUGUGACUAACGAAAUAAUCAAAUAAUGACAUGUGAUGAGUCAUUGUACCUCAAAUUGAUGUACAUGAACCAAUUUUUAACAAUAGAAAAUGAUUAAAAUUUUAAUA
rfam:Gossypium hirsutum cultivar TM-1 unplaced genomic scaffold scaffold56.1, whole genome shotgun sequence